AGUGGCGGACGGGUGAGUAACGCGUGAGAAUCUGCCUUGGGGUUGGGGACAACCACUGGAAACGGUGGCUAAUACCGGAUAAGCCGAUUGGUGAAAGAUUUAUUGCCCGAAGAGGAGCUCGCGUCUGAUUAGCUAGUUGGUGAGGUAAGAGCUCACCAAGGCAGCGAUCAGUAGCUGGUCUGAGAGGACGAUCAGCCACACUGGGACUGAGACACGGCCCAGACUCCUACGGGAGGCAGCAGUGGGGAAUUUUCCGCAAUGGGCGAAAGCCUGACGGAGCAAGACCGCGUGAGGGAGGAAGGCUCUUGGGUUGUAAACCUCUUUUCUCAGGGAAGAAGCUCUGACGGUACCUGAGGAAUCAGCCUCGGCUAACUCCGUGCCAGCAGCCGCGGUAAUACGGAGGAGGCAAGCGUUAUCCGGAAUUAUUGGGCGUAAAGCGUCCGCAGGUGGCGAUUCAAGUCUGCUGUCAAAGCACGGGGCUUAACUCCGUAAAGGCAGUGGAAACUGAAUAGCUAGAGUGCCGUAGGGGUAGAGGGAAUUCCCGGUGUAGCGGUGAAAUGCGUAGAGAUCGGGAAGAACAUCGGUGGCGAAAGCGCUCUACUGGACGGCAACUGACACUCAGGGACGAAAGCUAGGGGAGCGAAUGGGAUUAGAUACCCC
rnacentral:rRNA from 1 species